rnacentral:rRNA from 1 species
UCGGGUUGUAAAGCACUUUUGUCCGGAAAGAAAACCUCUGGGUUAAUACCCCGGGGGGAUGACGGUACCGGAAGAAUAAGCACCGGCUAACUACGUGCCAGCAGCGCGGUAAUCGUAGGGUGCGAGCGUUAAUCGGAAUUACUGGGCGUAAAGCGUGCGCAGGCGGUUCGUUAAGACAGAUGUGAAAUCCCCGGGCUUAACCUGGGAACUGCAUUUGUGACUGGCGGGCUAGAGUAUGGCAGAGGGGGGUAGAAUUCCACGUGUAGCAGUGAAAUGCGUAGAGAUGUGGAGGAAUACCGAUGGCGAAGGCAGCCCCCUGGGCCAAUACUGACGCUCAUGCACGAAAGCGUGGGGAGCAAACAGGAUUAGAUACCCUGGUAGUCCACGCCCUAAACGAUGUCAACUAGUUGUUGGGGAUUCAUUUCCUUAGUAACGUAGCUAACGCGUGAAGUUGACCGCCUGGGGAGUACGGUCGCAAGAUUAAAACUCAAAGGAAUUGACGGGGACCCGCACAAGCGGUGGAUGAAUGUGGAUUAAUUCGAUGCAACGCGAAAAACCUUACCUACCCUUGACAUGGACGGAACCUGGCUG